rnacentral:misc_RNA from 1 species
GGAAAAGAAGACACCCUGAUGCUAUUGUAGUGGUGGUGGAGGAGGAUUGUUUCAUAGAAAAGAGAAAAAAGGAGAAGCAGCCAACAAACAAACGGACAAACAUAGCCAACCAAUAAAUAGCCUCGUCUUUUCUCUCUCUCUUCUCGUUCCCCUUUAUCAUCCUCAGGGGCUUCCCUCACUUCUAGGGUUUCCAUGGUUCUCUAGGACCAGCACCAUUUCCCUUCCAAAGGGAUAACUCAAAAAGAUUUGAUCUUUCAAACAUUUCAUGGGCAUUGUUUGAGUUUCUUUCUUCACCCAUUAUCUGGAGCUUUUCCAAUUUCUCUGUGGAGGUUCCGGAGAUGGAGGAGGUCAAGAAACCUGAAACUCAUAUGACAUCAGCUGCAGCUUUUGUGGAAGGUGGAAUCCAGGAGGCCUGUGAUGAUGCAUGCAGCAUAUGCCUUGAAGCCUUCUGUGACAGUGAUCCUUCAACUGUAACCAGUUGCAAGCAUGAGUUCCAUCUUCAAUGCAUUCUUGAAUGGUAUAUUCAUAUAAUCAUGAAUUUUGGAAUUUCUCAUAGUUGUUUUAUCAUAGUCUUGAGCUCUGGGAAGAUCUGUUUAGGUUUAUAUACCACUGUGAAACCAAAAUUUAUGUUAAUAAGUUAUUGAAGUGGACAUUAAAUAGGUUUUCAUUUUAUUGUGUUUAUAUUUUGAGGAUUGACCUGGCUGUGUAACCUAAAAGUACAUUUUAUUGAUCUAUACACAUCACAUUGCAAUGUUGACUUUAGUUUGCUACAUGUGACAUAACUUUGCAUUGAAAAUUAUGUUGUUACAUCUUUAGUGCUUACUGUAAAGCUUGAGUUUGAUUACUUGGAAAAAAAUUAGGAAAUUUAACAGUUAUACUAUUUGGUGCAAUUAAUUUUAUAAAAUGACAAGCUACUGAUUUAAAUAAUUCAUUCAUCAGCAUGAUUGUAAGUUGUAACAAAACAAUAUAAGAUGGCUUUUUUAAGUAUCUAAGUUUGUGUAUAGGGAUGCUAAUUUUGAGCUCUCCUCAAUGUUUGAUGAAUGGAAGAUACAAGAGUACAUAUGUUUUCUCCUCUCAGCAAAUCAAGAUUCCAAUGAAAUUUGAAUAAUUUGUACCUAUAAUGGAGAUUGACCAGAUGAUUUAGCUCUCACAUAAUCUAAAUGUAUCCAUUGUGUCAUUGGUAAAUAUGGAUGUGUCUGCUUUGCUUAACACUGGCAUUACUUGGGCAAAAUUAGAUUUAGCAAGUGAUGGAUGUACAUUUUACAUCAAGGGUACUCUGCAUUUGAUGGAUUGACAGAAAAUGACAAAUUCAUUUUUUUUGUAAGUAUUAAUUACAUUGAUCUUUCCCCCCCCCUGAAGUUCCAAUACUUAUCAUAAUUUUAUCUGGUCAUAUUAGUAGCUUUCUUUUCCUUCUCUCCCCUUCUUUACCUUUCAGUUUCUCUAUACAAAUAGACAAGGAAAGGGUAACCAUCUUAACUUCCAUUCAUUUCCAAUCCUCUCCACCUCAUUUACUUCCCUUCCUUUCCCCUGCCCUCCAGUGUCCUGUAUAUAUUGAAUGUUGGAUGAUUUCAUAAAGAGAGGGAGAUACUUGGUAAACAGAUGCUCUCUACAAGAAACGAGAAUUAACAAGUUAUUUGCUCUGCUGUUGUGAUUGAUUGAAAUGUUUUUAGCAAUGGCAUAGGUUGUUCUUAUUUCCUCUAUAAAACAAUGCAUAUGAGCAUGAAAUGUCAUUCCCUUCUGUUUAUAGUAUGGAAGGAAAAGAUUCAAGAGCUUCAAAGUAUUGAAACCCCUAUUUUGUGUGAAAAGAAAGGUGGGUUCAUAAUCUUAUUUUUUGAUGACUGGAAAUUUUUGUGUCGAUCGUUUUGAUUUUACAAGUAUUGUGAAAUGUGUAUGGUCUUUUUGAAGCUCAUCUG